UUACUUCUUUUUUUAUUUGCUGUGAAAAUGAUGUUUCGAUUUUACAGAAAUCUGUAAUAAAUAACCAUAAAUUUUCUAAAAUUAUAUUGUAAAAAGGAAAUGGUAAAAUUGGUGAGGUAGGAAAGUGGAAGGUGAAAGAGGGGGGGUUACGUUGGAUAUUAUAUAUUGGUGAGUAAAUAGGGAGUAUAUGAUGAGAGGAAGGAGGGUAGGCAAGUGGGAGUUAUGGGGCUGAGUGAGUGAGUCAGUCGGGGGCUCUCAAAGGUUUUGUGUUUUUUAGUCCAUCCCUAACAAAAUGACAACUUCCAUUUAUUACGGAACUUCAACUUGAAGUUUAACUUUGUAAGAUUUAUUUUGAUAGUGGAGCAGCUGGGAAAGAGAUUCCAAAUUCCAAGUUGAUGGUGGAUAUAGAUUUUAGUUGUUUCUUUUUCUUUGAGUACAAAUCUGGCAUGGAGAAGAAUGGAACUCUGAUUUUCCUUUAUCAAAGUUACACAAAUGUCAAAACGAUUUUGAUAACUAUAGGAAGACAUAUUUAUAAAAUAAUGGAACCGAAGGAUAGAAAGAGAAAGAGGGUUGGGGAAGAAUGUGGAAAUAUCAGUUGACUGUCAUUUCCCAUACAGGAGGAGCUCACAUCACGCUGCUCUCUUCUCCUCUUCUCUCUUCCUUUCCUUUCCUCUUUUUUUUUUUUUCCAUUA